AUUGAACGCUGGCGGUAUGCCUUACACAUGCAAGCCGAACGGUAGAGGGGCAACCCUUGAGAGUGGCGAACGGGUGAGUAAUACAUCGGAACGUGCCCAGUCGUGGGGGAUAACGUAGCGAAAGCUACGCUAAUACCGCAUACGACCUGAGGGUGAAAGCGGGGGAUCGCAAGACCUCGCGCGAUCGGAGCGGCCGAUGGCAGAUUAGGUAGUUGGUGGGGUAAAGGCCUACCAAGCCUGCGAUCUGUAGCUGGUCUGAGAGGACGACCAGCCACACUGGGACUGAGACACGGCCCAGACUCCUACGGGAGGCAGCAGUGGGGAAUUUUGGACAAUGGGCGCAAGCCUGAUCCAGCCAUACCGCGUGCGGGAAGAAGGCCUUCGGGUUGUAAACCGCUUUUGUCAGGGAAGAAAUCUUCUGGGCUAAUACCUCGGGAGGAUGACGGUACCUGAAGAAUAAGCACCGGCUAACUACGUGCCAGCCGCCGCGGUAAAAC
rnacentral:rRNA from 1 species